rfam:Macrostomum lignano uti_cns_0000265, whole genome shotgun sequence.
AAAACGGCCCUUUUAAGGGCCAUUACUACAUUAUCACCUACUCUU